rnacentral:rRNA from 1 species
UCAAAAACAUGUCCUUUUGAAAAUAAUUUAAGGUCUGACCUGCCCAAUGAAUAUUUAAAUGGCCGCAGUAUUUUGACUGUGCAAAGGUAGCAUAAUCAUUAGUUUUUUAAUUGUAAGCUGGAAUGAAUGGUUUGAUGAGAAAAUAACUGUCUCAAUUUAAUUGUUUUAGAAUUUUAAUUUUAAGUGAAAAAGCUUAAAUUUUAAAGGAAGACGAGAAGACCCUAUAGAGUUUAAUAUUUUUAUAUUAUGAUUGGUUUUAGAUUUAUUUAAAAUUUUAAUGUAAGAUUAUUUUAUUGGGGUGAUAUUAAAAUUUAAUAAACUUUUAAUUUAUUGAAACAUUUUUUUGUGAAUAUUUGAUCCUAGUUUUUAGAUUAUAAGAUAAAAUUACCUUAGGGAUAACAGCGUAAUUUUUUUUAAGAGUUCUUAUCGAAAAAAAAGUUUGCGACCUCGAUGU